rnacentral:lncRNA from 1 species
AACCUUAACCUAUCAACAAUUGAUCAAACCAGCUAAAAAAGUGUACUAUUUAUCAAAAUCGCCUGGGAAGCUCUAAAAGUGUUGGAAAAGAAACUUGGUCCAUAAUAAAUGAUCUUCGAAAUAAAACAAGUCAAACAUUUGCCCUUCCAAACCCUGAAAAUCUAAAGGAAUACCUACUUCGUUAAUGAGUUUUGCAUUCUACACAGUUGCUCACCGAAUGCCAGUGAUCUUAACAAAUCUAAUAGAUAAUUUAGUGAGGCAUAAAUCAGAAA